UUUGGCACUUUACAGCGGUGUUGGUAGUCAGCAGGACUUAAUAGGGGCCUUUUCAGCGUGGAACCAAAGCAGUUUUUCGAUGGUGGACCUUUACAUAGAUCCAGUCUCCUGAUUCCAAGGAGUGGCAGGGCUGCUAGGGUCUUUGGGUAGCACUUCUUUACCUGAUGUUGCCAGGACCAG